AUUGAACGCUGGCGGCAGGCCUAACACAUGCAAGUCGAACGAGCGGCGGACGGGUGAGUAAUGUAUGGGAAACUGCCCGAUGGAGGGGGAUAACUACUGGAAACGGUAGCUAAUACCGCAUACCAUCGGAUGUACCCAGAUGGGAUUAGCUAGUAGGUGGGGUAACGGCUCACCUAGGCGACGAUCCCUAGCUGGUCUGAGAGGAUGACCAGCCACACUGGAACUGAGACACGGGCCAGACUCCUACGGGAUGCAGCAGUGGGGAAUAUUGCACAAUGGGCGCAAGCCUGAUGCAGCCAUGCCGCGUGUAUGAAGAAGGCCUUCGGGUUGUAAAGUACUUUCAGCGGGGAGGCGUUACUCGCAGAAGAAGCACCGGCUAACUCCGUGCCAGCAGCCGCGGUAAUUC
rnacentral:rRNA from 1 species